rnacentral:rRNA from 1 species
GCAAGUCGAACGGUAACAGGUCUUCGGAUGCUGACGAGUGGCGAACGGGUGAGUAAUACAUCGGAACGUGCCCAGACGUGGGGGAUAACGAGGCGAAAGCUUUGCUAAUACCGCAUACGAUCUAAGGAUGAAAGCAGGGGACCGCAAGGCCUUGCGCGUUUGGAGCGGCCGAUGGCAGAUUAGGUAGUUGGUGGGAUAAAAGCUUACCAAGCCGACGAUCUGUAGCUGGUCUGAGAGGACGACCAGCCACACUGGGACUGAGACACGGCCCAGACUCCUACGGGAGGCAGCAGUGGGGAAUUUUGGACAAUGGGCGAAAGCCUGAUCCAGCAAUGCCGCGUGCAGGAUGAAGGCCUUCGGGUUGUAAACUGCUUUUGUACGGAACGAAAAGGCUCUGGCUAAUACCUGGGGCACAUGACGGUACCGUAAGAAUAAGCACCGGCUAACUACGUGCCAGCAGCCGCGGUAAUACCGUAGGGUGCGAGCGUUAAUCGGAAUUACUGGGCGUAAAGCGUGCGCAGGCGGUUUUGUAAGACAGAGGUGAAAUCCCCGGGCUCAACCUGGGAACUGCCUUUGUGACUGCAAAGCUGGAGUGCGGCAGAGGGGGAUGGAAUUCCGCGUGUAGCAGUGAAAUGCGUAGAUAUGCGGAGGAACACCGAUGGCGAAGG